AAUGCUUUGCUGCAAAGGUACUUGCAGGUGCCUUAUGGUAAUGUCUUUCUCUCUUUCAUUCCUGAGAAUUAUCUUCUACUGUUCUAGUAUUAAAAGUCUGAAAUGUCAGCCAGCUGGUCGCUGAUUAAUAAAGGAAUGACUCUUUCAGUGUAGGCACUGCCAGAAGCCAGUCAGAGCUGAUGCUUGACCUGUACACUUGAGACAAGGAGCAGAGACAGCUGCAGGAUGAGAAGAGAGGAGAAAAACGUAGAUGCCAGAUACAUAUAAUUGGAUGCAUGCCACUGCAGUCUCUGCAGCGCAGGCCACAUGCCAGGUCUCCUUCUUAGCCUGAUUCUUUGAGAUUUCUGCAUUUGAAAGAGGCCAUAAAAGAAAAAAAGAUACAGAUGCUUUUCAAGUAUAUGGACGUCAAAUGGAUCUGAAGACACUAAAGAUGGCAUAUCAUUGGAUGGAUACCACUGGCUUUCAACAUAGAAAUCUAAAUAUAGAAAGGAUUAAACAAUCACUUAUAAUUUCACUAAAAUAAGUGCCAAGAUUCCUAUAGUUUCUAAUGGGGGCAGGAGCUGACCUCCUCCUUAGCUGUCCUCAGUUAAACAAUACAGAAACAUAAUGGUAAGUAAUUAAGAGAUGUGGGCUUUUGUCAUUUUUAAUUCCAUGAAAUUUUGUGUUAUUGUUUAUGGUAUUUUUUUAACUCUUGAACUAUGCUGUUAUGUAAAUCUCAGAUCUCUUCAUGCAGCAAUUAUCUGUAUGAGUUUGGAGGUCAAAGUGUUGUGAAAAUAUACUGGGUGUAGAAAUUAAUCAACAUACAAAAUGUACUGGAUUUUCAAGUAGGAAAUAAAAUGUGAUUUUUAUUUUUCUCUUACAAAAACACCUCAGUGAUUUAUUUUUAUAUAAGUAAGAAAUUGCUGUUUAGCAGUCCACCCUCCCAUGAAUAGUAGCUUUCAAAAAGAUGCUUAUCCAAAGUGAUGUCUUAAGCACUUUUGGUAUUUCCCACUGUGAAAAAGAUGGAAUAUAUAGCUGUUGUUAAGUGAUGGAGGAGUAAUGAAUUUAAUCAAACAACAAUAAUAAAAAAAAUCAUAUCACCACAGUAGCAUUAAUCUGCAGAACCUAAACCAGAGCUAAAUGAAUGUCACUCAGAAGGCAAGAGGUGAAAUUCUCCAUGCUAUUUGUGCAGCUUCAUAUUUAUCUGGGGCCCAUCAUCCUAAAGCAGAAUUGAACUAGAGAAUGUAACCUCCCAGAGAUUGAUUGAUUGAUGGAUUGAUUUUCAAUUGACAGCUUGUUGGUUUGUCUCUUAGGUGGAAAAGUUUAUGCACUUGCUUAGAAAGGUGGUUUUUCUGACUCAUGCCUUCUUCUUCUAUAUAUCCAGCCAAUGUAACCAUAAUUUAAUAUUAAGUUUGUGUCUAAUACUCUGUGUAUAUUUAUAUUGGCGAAACUACCCAGGCUCAUACAUUGCCUACCUUGGUAUUUGUAUUCAGGUCAGUCAUCAAAAAGAAGUAGUUGGAUUGAAUUUAGUUCUGUUUUACUCACUGUUAAGGGAAUUGGUUGGCAAGUAGGGAAGGAAUUGAUCUUAGUUAUAAAAUGGAUAGAAAUGAAUGUGGUGUCACCACUGUUUUAAGUUGGAGAGGCAUGUUACAACAGAGACUCUGUGAAGCAGUGCACCACUUGGAAAUUUGUCUCACCCUGUACUUAGAAGUGUUAGUCACUUAACCAUAUUUUUCACUCAGCAUCACAUGUUCUUGCAUUUAAAAUGGCGUAAAUCUCUGUUGGCUAUUCAUGUUCCAUCCUAAUGAAAAACAGAAAUAAAACUGCAGCAGGCAGAAAUUUGAUUCAUCAC
ensembl:lncRNA